rnacentral:rRNA from 1 species
UGGGGAAUUUUGGACAAUGGGCGAAAGCCUGAUCCAGCCAUGCCGCGUGAGUGAAGAAGGCCUUCGGGUAGUAAAGCUCUUUUAGUCGGAAAGAAAGAGUUGCAAUGAAUAAUUGUGAUUUAUGACGGUACCGACAGAAAAAGCACCGGCUAACUACGUGCCAGCAGCCGCGGUAAUACGUAGGGUGCGAGCGUUAAUCGGAAUUACUGGGCGUGAAGGGUGCGCAGGCGGUCUUGCAAGGCAGAUGUGAAAGCCCCGGGCUUAACCUGGGAAUUGCGUUUGAAACUACAAGGCUAGAGUGCAGCAGAGGGGAGUGGAAUUCCAUGUGUAGCAGUGAAAUGCGUAGAGAUGUGGAAGAACACCGAUGGCGAAGGCAGCUCCCUGGGUUGACACUGACGCUCAUGCACGAAAGCGUGGGGAGCAAACA